UGAAAAAUAGCUAGGGGAUUAGUUUUGUAUUUACAAUACAGAGAUACCCGUUUGACUCGGGUUUUUUCAA
rnacentral:tRNA from 1 species